UCGAAAGUCCGUAAACCCACGAUGUUUUGUAAGGCAACGAUGUUUUUCGAUCAGUUCGAUGAACUGGUAUGCUGAGCGUUAGAGUGAAAGAGAGAGCAUGCUUUUGAUUUUAACCGAAGUUUCGCAAAGCAUGCUAUCUCGCUCUUUCAUGUUUGCGAAUUUUUCGUCAGUUCUGUCAAACGAAAAAAAAACAUGGCGUGCACGUUUGCUCUGUCGCGAAAGAUUGCUUUGUGGUCGGCUUUUCCGGGAUUGUUCCGGGUUGUUUGCCAAAUCGGCAGGCCAAGAAACGCUCCCAGAUUGUCACCUUGUUGGUCGAGAGUGGAUUUGAAAGGUAACUUAUAUGUUUUACUUUGCUUUAUUUGUUUAGAUUUGCUACAAGCUUUUACUAAAAAUUUGCAUUUUCAGGCUGGACGACGCGUGCAGGUGGUGCAGCCCCAAGAUGACGGUUUUGCUAGCUGGCCGUCGAUAAUUGUGUCAUCAAGUUCAACCCCACCGGGACGCGGUCUUUGGCACGAUUGGCUUGAUUCUUGUGCACUUUCCCUACACCCUUUUUGUCGCGAUCAACGGCGGAAACCUCCUCCAUUCUCAUUCACCGCCUGAACCGCCACACGCCAACUCCGGGACAUAACCACGAAGGCAGCGGAAGUGACUGCAAAAACCAGCGCAGUUGAAGUCAAAGUCGCUGAUUGUGUUCCGGAUCACCGCUAGCCUGAAUGCACCCGUCGAAAAGCUGCAAAGGAUGACAUAACCUUUGUCAAACUGAUCACACCUGUGCGCCGGAACCUGAGUGCAAACCCGCGAUUGAGUUGUCCGAGAAGAGCUUCAAAUUUGGUGAGAAAGAGUAGAAGCAACACCAGGUAGUAAAAAGCGCGACAAAGAAGGUCGUCAAUUUGUCGGCCCCUGGUCAACAUUGGGCUGGACGUGCGUGAGUGCCACUGUUGUUCUUGGAGAAUCAACAAUGGAUUUCAUUAAAAAAAAAGUCUCGAGAGUCGGCCGGCUCAUCAGCCCUGAACAUCAAUAACGACUCCAGAACAAACCGCGUGGAUAACAGCGCAGAAUUAUCAGCAUCUUCAUUCCUCCACGACGGAGUUUCCGACGUCCUUGUAGAUGCAUCUGCUGCAAGAAGUACAGCACCUGGCGCUGUGAUAAUCGCCGGAAAGCAAACUCGAGCGUGCUCACAAACAACUACUACUUUCGGAACCGGUCUGCACUCCAGCACUCCAGGAACAAACUGCUCCCGAUCGAAGCCACAAGAUUAACUCGUUCCCAUAAAUUUGAAUCUGCACGGAAUGUUCCAUUUUGUGCAGAAUCUGUCCUCACAUCCUCAAGCAAGCCGAACUGGUCACGGUCUAGGAUCCGAGUACCAAUCUUUGCGCGUUCUGCGCGACAUCAGUGAAGAGUAUGCCAACGAGUAGUUUCUUCCACCUGGCGUGAUAAAUAAAAAAAUAUUCUGGUAAGUUUCUUCUAACAUUUGCUAGUUUCUGUGUAAUUUUUCUUUUAUUCCGGUUCCGAGAUUUUUGCCGACGUUGUUGGCCAGGAACACUGCAAAGUCGAUCGAAUCCGUCGAGAUGACGUCAAGCAAGGCGGCGGUUGCCAAUGCGAGCCAGCAGCAGCUAUCAAAAUAACAUGCCUUUCAUCGAGCUGACCACACCCGAGCGCCAGAACUAUAGUGCAUACCCGCACACGCCGUUUCCUGUGUCGGCCGAGAAUCUACAAGUUCAAAAAAAGGAGAAGCAGCAGUGUGCGCCAAAGAAAGAAAUAAAACCGUCGCUCGAUGGCCUUGUGGAGAACGUGCGCGACAACAUGGCCACGGCCGGUGUCGGAAAGCCGGUCAAACCGCUUGAAGUGACCUGCUAUCAAGUCUACAAAAGAGUUGAAGUAAUCUAACCUGCCACAGAUCAACCGUUGGGCUGCCAACUCGUCAACCUUAGCCAGCGGUAACUUGCUCCCGUAGAAUGUCAUGGGAUGACAAUCUCGAAAUCAAAAUUUAAGGUUCUAGUAAGAUGAUUCUGAUUCAUAUUCGCCAAUUUUAGUUUAACAAACUUUUUUUUAUACUGUUUUUUUUUUGUUAUGGCCUAGUUCAAUCCAGGGAAGGCUCACGAUGCAGUUAUAGCCUUUUAAGUGGCAUGGUAGUCCGCACCUGCAAAAGUUCACCGCCACCUUCACAAGCACCAGAACCAGAACCAUUAUCUAUCACAGUAGCACCCUCUUGCAUCGUCGGUCCCCGGAGAAAGUACAGGGGAGGUACAGAGAAACCGGGUCAGAAUGUCCACGUUGAUCAGCGUCGACAAGUUAAUUAUCAAAACAUCCCCCUCGGUGCAUCUCCGGCAGCUGCCACUGAUCAUGUCACGUUACUACGAGCAGAUGGUCGCCUCCGUAGUACAGCCAAGCCAUGUUCCGCAGACUCGUUUGCUCAACUUAAACAAAUAGCACAUAAAAGUGACCAGCACCUUCGACGCCCGAGAAACGACACGAUCCUGGAGCGCUUGGCCAUUAGCGGCGAUUCCGCUGGAGACCAGUUUCUGGACACCACCGGAAACUUCGUCUAUAGUGACUGGACCGGACCGGAGCGGACCAAUAGAUCCUCAACCAAGUCCCGCUUGGAAGGCUCAAGGACCUUUCAAACAAAGCCUGGUUCAAGGUCACCAAGUCCCAACAAAGAUCGCGGAUUGCUCUGCAUGGAAAAGCUGCCAAGUAGGGCAUCUUUGAGAUUGAUGGCAGUUUCUCGAAGCAGCAAACGCAGUUCAAGGAGUGGAGAAGCUGGCAACCGCCAAUCGCUCCGAAAGCAAUCCCUGCCGGCUUAAUUACAAGUUGGUAAUGUUCCGGUCGGGGAAACCAGCAACGCCUAAGCCAGUCUGCCUCAAAGGGUUCGCAGCGCUGCCCACCGAACAGCAGGAACUGGCCUCGCGAACAGCAACAUGAAUGUCGUAUUCCGUCCCGUCCAGACGACGUGAAGCAACUGAAGAGCAAGUAGAAAAGGUCCUUCAAGGCAACGAGUCCCUUACAGCAACUUUCAAAAUCCUAACCCGCUGAACCGACCCCGCGGGAAAAGCCCCCCAAAGCUGCCCAGUUGGGUGCUUUCGGCAUCGGAAAACGUUCAUUUAACCAGCGGUCAACGGGGGGUGGCCAAGGAGCAACCGGCGGCAGCGGAACCGGUACUAAAGAAGCACGGUCAUUUGUCGGCCGGCGAUUUAUUCAGUUGUGGUAAAAAACGGCGCAGAAUCAUUUGAGGCGGUCAUUUGGACAUAACACGACAGCUCUACUGAAGACCUGGCGGACCAGAAGUUUCUACGCCACCAAGAACAACCUUCGAGUGCGACCACUACCGUUAGGCCACACGGGUCUAGAUGGCCGCACACGAAACACUUUUAAUGCCCGGCGACAUAGAUCGAUCGACCGGGCACUUCCAUCGGGCCGGGAAGACCGAAGAAGUUGAUGGCAGCGAACGUCAAAACGAGCCCUGCUCUGGACGCGAAUAUCGCGACAUCGUGUCGGCAUCGUACUUGUGAGCGUUAACGAAGUGGUCCAGAUACUAAUCUCGAACCGGAACAGUCGUCGCGUGCCGUUUCGAAAGCUACCCAGCUAGGUAGGUCCGCGGCUUCGUACCAAGAAGGACACUUCCGUUAGUUUCCAGACAGUGCGUCAGCACGCAAUAAUUCCAUGCUCACCGGUUCCGAGAGAUUCGCCGAAGGAACAUUUCCGAUGAGUCGAACGAAACUGGUCUAGUCAAAAAUGAAAAGCUGGCGGUGACCGGGAGGACCACAAAGCUGAAUGCAUCCGUCGAUAUACACAUGUCAGUGUCCGGAAGCGCCCAGAAUCUGCAGAAGGGCCUUCGAAAACCGCAGUGUGUA